AGGGGGGAAGAACAACAGGGAUUGCCCUAGUAACGGCGAGUGAAGCGGCAACAGCUCAAAUUUGAAAUCUGGCCCUAGUGGUCCGAGUUGUAAUUUGUAGAGGAUGCUUUAGGUGCGGUGCCUUCUGAGUUCCCUGGAACGGGACGCCAGAGAGGGUGAGAGCCCCGUACGGUUGGACGCCUAGCCUAUGUAUAGCUCCUUCGACGAGUCGAGUAGUUUGGGAAUGCUGCUCUAAAUGGGAGGUAAAUUUCUUCUAAAGCUAAAUACCGGCCAGAGACCGAUAGCGCACAAGUAGAGUGAUCGAAAGAUGAAAAGUACUUUGAAAAGAGGGUUAAAUAGCACGUGAAAUUGUUGAAAGGGAAGCGUUUGCGACCAGACUUUUUCCAGGGGGAUCAUCCGGUGUUUUCGUCGGUGCACUUCCCCUGGUUGAGGCCAGCAUCGGUUUCCUUAGGGGGAUAAAGGCUUGGGGAACGUAGCUCUUUCGGGAGUGUUAUAGCCCCUCGCGUAAUACCCCUCGGGGGACCGAGGAUCGCGCUCUGCAAGGAUGCUGGCGUAAUGGUCGUCAACGACCCGUCUUGAAACACGGACCAAGGAGUCGAACAUUUGUGCGAGUGUUUGGGUGUUAAACCCUCACGCGUAAUGAAAGUGAACGGAGGUGAGAGCCCUUACGGGUGCAUCAUCGACCGAUCCUGAUGUCUUCGGAUGGAUUUGAGUAAGAGCAUAACUGUUCGGACCCGAAAGAUGGUGAACUAUGCGUGGAUAGGGUGAAGCCAGAGGAAACUCUGGUGGAGGCUCGCAGCGGUUCUGACGUGCAAAUCGAUCGUCAAAUCUGCGCAUGGGGGCGAAAGACUUAUCGAACCAUUAAACCAGCGGUAAAUACGAUUUACUAGGUGGUUAAGAGGGGCCCCGCGAGGGGUUGCACCCUAGGUCUUCGGGCCGCCCUACCCUGGAGCUACCCUAU
rnacentral:rRNA from 1 species